rnacentral:rRNA from 1 species
GACGAACGCUGGCGGCGUGCUUAACACAUGCAAGUCGAACGGAAAGGCCCUGCUUUUGUGGGGUGCUCGAGUGGCGAACGGGUGAGUAACACGUGAGUAACCUGCCCUUGACUUUGGGAUAACUUCAGGAAACUGGGGCUAAUACCGGAUAGGAGCUCCUGCUGCAUGGUGGGGGUUGGAAAGUUUCGGCGGUUGGGGAUGGACUCGCGGCUUAUCAGCUUGUUGGUGAGGUAGUGGCUUACCAAGGCUUUGACGGGUAGCCGGCCUGAGCGGGUGACCGGCCACAUUGGGACUGAGAUACGGCCCAGACUCCUACGGGAGGCAGCAGUGGGGAAUAUUGCACAAUGGGCGGAAGCCGGAUGCAGCAACGCCGCGUGCGGGAUGACGGCCUUCGGGUUGUAAACCGCUUUCGCCUGUGACGAAGCGUGAGUGACGGUAAUGGGUAAAGAAGCACCGGCUAACUACGUG